AUUUUAACUGUGUGAAGUCCUCCAUCCAGGUCACCGGAUUCUUGACAGUUUUAGUGGUUAGGUUAGUCAGGGGCACCGUUAUUCUGAAGAAUGAUGGUAUGAAGUGCCGGUAUCACCUAACUAGCCAUACCUCCUUCUUGGUCUGGGACAGUUGCAGAAAGCUUUGAAUUUGUUGACUUGGGGCCUCACCUCACUCUCCCCUAGCUGAAACCCCAUGUAACUGGUCUCUGCCCUCUCCCACUCACAUUUGGACAUGUUCAGGGUCAGGCCAGCCUCAGAAAUCUUCCUCAGGAUCCUGCACAAAUACUGGAGAUGAUCUUUCCAGGUACUGCUGUGGAUUACCACCCCAUCCAGGUAAGCAGCACAGUAGUUCUCACUGUUUCUGAGAACAUGAGUCACUGGAAUGUCACUGGUGCCCCAUGCAACCCAAACUGCAUAGUCGUGAAUUGGAAUAGGCCCUGGAAUAGGGUUUGGAAUAGGGUUUGGAAUAUUGGAAUAGGGUGUCCUGAACAUGGUGUAUUCCCUGAUAUUUUUCUCCAGCAGAACUUGCCAGUAACCCUUCCAAAGGUCCAGUGUUUUGAUGUUCCUGUCUCUCUCUAUGCUCUCAAUCAGUUAAUCAAUUCUGGUCAUUGGCAGAUGAUAUUGGCUCCUCCCAGCUCUUCUUCAACAGGUCCAGUGGCCCUUGAACAGGCCAGUUAUACACCAGCACAAAGGGAGAGAACCCUGUAGAAGCUUGGGACACCUCGGUAGGCAAAAAGCAGAAAUUGCAGUCAUUUAUCUCAGUUCUUACUGGUGUCUCUGAAACGUUCUUAACAGGUUCUUG
ensembl:lncRNA